rnacentral:pre_miRNA from 1 species
CCAUAAGUCACCUGGGGAUCUUGUUAAAAUGCAGAUUCUGAUGAGAUAGGUCUGGGGUGGGGCCUGAGACUUUGCAUUUCUGACAAGCUCCCAGAUGAUGCCAUU